UUUUGUAGAUAAUCAGUAUUCAAGGCAACUCGACAAAGUAAAUAUCGGUAACUUUCGUGCGAUAGUGCAUAUCUUUGAAUGUCUCAAUUCAAUGUUAUCGUAAUAUUAUAUGCGAAUAAUAAUAGUAACACGUUCCGAUGAUCUGGUAAAAGUCGAAAUCUGAACUUUUUUUUCGCUUGUAUUCGUGGAUGGAAUUUAACGCGACGAUAUUACACGGGGCUUUUUGUCGAAUUAUUGGUUUAGGUUGUUAUCAGGCAACUCCUGAAACGAACUUAUCCUAUCGUACAUACACGUUCUGCGUGUCAGUAAUUACGAGCGACGAUAAUACUGUCGCACGUAGAAAACGAACUUGAAUAUUCCAUUCCGCCAGGUGAAUACCGUUUGCAGUUGUCAACGUGUUCUCCUUUCGCAUUCUUGGUGGAACGAAUCGGCUCCUUGUGUUGUAAAAAAAUUUUGUUCACUGCUGCAUUGUUUCACCGUAUCGUAAGUUCUUCCUCCUUUCGUCGCCAGUUCAGCCUCGCCGUUUUAGUUGUCGGUCUGAUCGAUCGAUCCCAACGAUCAAUAAACUUUUCACUUGAAAGUUUGUUCGUUCGGCUCGAGUUAUCAGAUCGAGGAAGAACGUACUUCACUCUCCGAGAUGCCAUUGACACGCUGUUACGAAAAAUCCGAUCUUCGAUUCUGUUUCUGGAGGUGUUUUCUAUAUUCUACUGCGCGUUGCUCUAAUUCUCGAUCCGUUGGUGUAUAAGCUGCUUUCUCCGAAGAAACCUUACGUGCAUGGACAUUAUCGGCCUGCAUCGUCAUCGUUAGUAUUUAAGACGUUUAUAUAACUGUCCUAUUUUACUUAUGCAUAACUUUUAAUCCUACAUUGGCGUGAAUAAUUUGGAAAAUGCACUUUAAAAUGCAUUGUAAGUUACAUAUUGCAUAUAUGUGUAUAAAUUGGGACCGAGAUUUCCGUUGCUUACUGUUUUGCGCUUUUCAUGUUCCUCAGGCGACGGAUCAAUCGAUACUGUGAAACCGUCGUUAACCAGAAUGGACGAAUUAAUUCGUCAGCUGCGUCCGAUUGUGUGUCCUCUCAACGUUUAUCAAAUUAUUUAUUUACCAAGCGAUAAACAAUCAAGACAAAUACAGCGACGAAAUAAAGCUCUUUUGUAUCUGAAAUGAUGGUAUGAGACUUACUUAAUUCUCUGUGUACGUCGUACCUGGUUUCUAUAGAAAUACAUAUUGUAUUCGUGGCAACAAUCAAUAUCGACGCCCGCAUCGAAUGACCGAGCAUUCGCAUAUGCAACACACACGUGUAAUUUCAAGGAUGAAGGAAUUUUUAUUACACUCUCAUGUAACUUAAAUAAAUUAUAUUCAGUAGACUGAUAUUCAUAAUCUUAAAUAUGAAAUGUUCUUAUAUCUCCGAGUAUGUUAAAAAUGUAUCUACGUUUCAAUAAUACAUUUUACUGGA